rnacentral:tRNA from 1 species
UGUGUGUUAGCUUAAUAGGUAGAGCUUUGUGUUACGGAUAAAGGACGGACACAAGGACACAGGUUCAAAUCUUGUACACGCUU